rnacentral:rRNA from 2 species
CAUGCAAGUCGAACGUGAAGCCACCUUCGGGUGGUGGAAAGUGGCAGACGGGUGAGUAACGCGUGGGAACGUGCCUUUCGGUUCGGAAUAACCCAGGGAAACUUGGGCUAAUACCGGAUACGCCCUUCGGGGGAAAGAUUCAUCGCCGAAAGAUCGGCCCGCGUCGGAUUAGCUUGUUGGUGGGGUAAAAGCCUACCAAGGCGACGAUCCGUAGCUGGUCUGAGAGGAUGAUCAGCCACACUGGGACUGAGACACGGCCCAGACUCCUACGGGAGGCAGCAGUGGGGAAUAUUGGACAAUGGGCGCAAGCCUGAUCCAGCCAUGCCGCGUGGGUGAAGAAGGCCCUAGGGUUGUAAAUCCCUUUCAGCGGGGAAGAUAAUGACGGUACCCGCAGAAGAAGCCCCGGCUAACUCCGUGCCAGCAGCCGCGGUAAUACGGAGGGGGCUAGCGUUGUUCGGAAUUACUGGGCGUAAAGCGCGCGUAGGCGGACCUGCAAGUCGGGGGUGAAAGCCCGAGGCUCAACCUCGGAACUGCCUUCGAUACUGCGGGUCUCGAGUCCGGGAGAGGUGAGUGGAAUUCCUAGUGUAGAGGUGAAAUUCGUAGAUAUUAGGAAGAACACCAGUGGCGAAGGCGGCUCACUGGCCCGGUACUGACGCUGAGGCGCGAAAGCGUG